UACAGAGGGUGCAAGCGUUAAUCGGAUUUACCGGGCGUAAAGCGUGCGUAGGCGGUUCAUUAAGUCGGUUGUGAAAUCCCUGGGCUUAACCUGGGAACUGCAGUCGAUACUGAUGAACUAGAGUGCGGUAGAGGGUGGCGGAACUCCGGGUGUAGCGGUGAAAUGCGUAGAUAUCCGGAAGAACACCGAUGGCGAAGGCAACCACCUGGGCCUGCACUGACGCUGAGGUACGAAAGCGUGGGGAGCAAACAGG
rnacentral:rRNA from 1 species